rnacentral:rRNA from 1 species
UACGGGGGGGGCAAGCGUUGUUCGGAAUUACUGGGCGUAAAGGGCUCGUAGGCGGCCAACUAAGUCGGACGUGAAAUCCCCAGGCUUAACCUGGGAACUGCAUCCGAUACUGGAUGGCUUGAAUCCGGGAGAGGGAUGCAGAAUUCCAGGUGUAGCGGUGAAAUGCGUAGAUAUCUGGAGGAAUACCGGUGGCGAAGGCGGCAUCCUGGACCGGCAUUGACGCUGAGGCGCGAAAGCUAGGGGAGCAAACGGG